AGCCGAAACGCUCCACAAAGGAGCGUCCGGAAAAGGCGGCAACUUUUCCGCUGAUGAGGCAAGCCGAAU
rnacentral:hammerhead_ribozyme from 1 species